CUGGGUGUAGCGCAGAUGGUAGCGUGCUUGAAUGGGGUUCAAGAGGCCGGGAGUUCAAGUCUCCCCACUCAGACCA
rnacentral:tRNA from 1 species